UUUGCUUACUGCAAAGGCAAUGUCAGGGCGAGUAAAGGAUAGAUAAUGAAGAUUUCCAAUGACUCGACGAUAAAGAGUGCCAUCCACUUUGGAAUCCUCACGAGAUGUUUCAAAGGUACAUUGUAGAAGUCAUGGGCGUGGGAGCGCCUUCGCAUUCAACUAUGUUAACAUCUACCCUGAAAAUGAUUGUGGGACUGACUGCGACAAACUCGGGCAGAGUGGCUAUGACAAUCACAUACCAAAGUGCUUACGAGGCUUUCACGUUAACCUCAAUUGGGUCGAGUGUCGUUGGCGUUGUUGUAAAGCCUGUUGUUGGUAU
rnacentral:lncRNA from 1 species